UACGUAGGGUGCAAGCGUUGUCCGGAAUUAUUGGGCGUAAAGAGCUCGUAGGCGGUCUGUCGCGUCGGCUGUGAAAUCCCGGAGCUCAACUCCGGGUCUGCAGUCGAUACGGGCAAACUGGAGUACUGCAGGGGAGACUGGAAUUCCUGGUGUAGCGGUGAAAUGCGCAGAUAUCAGGAGGAACGACCGGUGGCGAAGGCGGGUCUCUGGGCAGUAGCUGACACUGAGG
rnacentral:rRNA from 1 species